rnacentral:rRNA from 1 species
UACGGAGGGGGGCUAGCGUUUGUUCGGAAUUACUGGGCGUAAAGCGCACGUAGGCGGCUUUGUAAGUUAGAGGUGAAAGCCCAGGGCUUAACCCUGGAAUUGCCUUUAAGACUGCAUCGCUAGAAUUGUGGAGAGGUAAGUGGAAUUCCGAGUGUAGAGGUGAAAUUCGUAGAUAUUCGGAAGAACACCAGUGGCGAAGGCGACUUACUGGACACAUAUUGACGCUGAGGUGCGAAAGCGUGGGGAGCAAACAGG